ensembl:snRNA U6 U6 spliceosomal RNA
AUUCUUCAGCAGAACAUGUACUAAAAUUUGAAUAAAACAGGGAAGAUUAGCAUGGCUCCUGCAUCAUGAUGACAUUCAAAUUCAUGAACUGUUCCAUAUUCUA